rnacentral:lncRNA from 1 species
GUACCCUCCAAGCAAGUUAAACUCUGCCUGGUGAGAAGGAUGGCAUCUUAGAAGUUUAUUUAUUCAAAGAAAACUAAGGAUAAUAUUUAAUAUGGAAACCACGUUUUCCAGUUUGAACUUCCUAGAUGGGGAAGAAAGGUUGUCUUCUCAUCUUCAGCCCCAUCGAGGAUGUUUAGAAAAACUUCUGACUUUCACAGGAUCGAAAUGUAAAGGAGGAGAGCAUUGUUGGCCCACACUCAAUGGAAAAGAACCGGCAACUACUGAAACCUGUGCCUUAGAUGUGUCUGUAACUUGGCCAAGAAGAGUAGCCUCUGUCUCCUCAGUGGGAAUGACCUCAUUUUUGGAUGCUUGUCCUUGCUCAGUCAUUAGCUAACCUGCUGGGACUACUUUGCCUUCUCUGCUGGUCCUGAUCCGGUCUGAUCCUUUCUUCAUGGAGCUGUGCUUUGCGAUUACUGGCCUCUCUUGAGGAUUAUAUUCUUUGAGACAUGAGCAUGACUUCUGCCUGGCUCCAUGCUAGUGUCCAUAGCAAGAUGACCUCUUUAUGUGGGGAUCUCCACAGCAUGGGAUGAUAGCAUCUCCCUUCAUCCUGGCCUGCUCGGUUCCCACCUGUCUUCUCAUGUCAUUUCACUACAGUUGGCAUAUUAUGUCAUUCCAUGUUUAUUUUUGUUAUGAAUAACCAUGACAUUUAGAUUUAUUUCCUGCAGGGAACAGCUUUUUCUGGUGUCUCAUCAAAGCCUAAAAUAAUCAUCUAAGACCACUAAGGGUAGCAGGGCUUAUUCUUAGUGUAAGAUAAAAAACCUAGUACAGUUAGAGGUUUCCUGUGGACACUUGGGAAAGAAGCAUGAAGUUGGUGUUCAGCAACCUGUACAGAACAAAUGAGUUAAUUAAAUAGACAUAUCUUCAGAUGAUAGUGCUACAUCCUUAGAAGUCUGAACCUUGGACUGUAACUAUAAGUUUUGGAUGUAAGCCACAUCUGUUCCUAUUCUAGCUGCCCCCAAAUUGACAUAAACAUCCAUUAGGUUUAUGAACCAGCUGCAAGCCUAGGCUGUGCAGGUUCUGACCUAUUCUAACUCUCUAAGGGUGCUUAGUUCCCAACCACAUGGUCCUUUCCCAUUAGUCUGAGUCUGCCCUGGCCUUCUCAGGUCUAUCUGUGUACUCGUGGCAAAUCUCUUGGCAGCCUGUUCAUCCUGACUUCUCCUGGAUCUUUGGCUUCAUGACCACCUUUGGUUUCUCUAACUUCUUUUCCUCAUUGUUCUUCCUCUACCUCCCUCUACGUGGAAUCCCUGGCUGGGAUCAGAAGUCCAGCCUUUAUAUCUCUUCUGCUCACUCACAGACUGAUCAGUUAUUAACAAAUCAGAAAUAAUUAGGGAGAAUUCUUUACACAACAUUGAUGCAGGAGAUGUUUCAAUAAUAACAAUGAUACUAGUGUCUUGGCUGUAACCAUAUUUCUGGGCACAGAAAUCAGCAUCUGAAUAUACAAUGCACAAAACCAACUGCCAACACUAAAUUCCUAAAUUCUCCCAACACCCAACCACACAGUCCCACAAGUCAUUCAACUUCUGAAUAUUAGUUUUCUAGCCUAUGAAACAGGAAUUAUGGUGUUUUAUGCUUCGACCUUAAGAAGGCAAGACCCCAUAAUGGAAAAGCAAUACAACUAACAUUAGAUAAAUUGUAUUUUAUUAGAAGAGGGCCAAAGAGUUAGAGAGUGCAUCUCACUUUGUUUGUUAUCAUCUCCCUACAGUUCCUUUGAGUAUGCUAGCUAUCCAGAGCUGAGAUUGACACCAGGAUAAGGACAGAACCACAGAGCAGGACAUUCACUGGCUUGCCAAGAGAUAGCCCACCUACCAAUUAAAGGCUUUGUAAAGUUUGUUUCCUGUAAGAUCUAACCUAGUCUUCAUAAUUUCUCAGUAAUCCUAGAUACCAAGAAAAUAGAUGUAGGAGGGCUACAAAGGUCAAGGCCUGCAGAGGCUACAGAGUGACUUAAGGCCAGCCUCGGAAACUUAAAGAGACAAAAUCUCAAUG